rnacentral:rRNA from 1 species
GAUGAACGCUGGCGGCGUGCUUAACACAUGCAAGUCGAACGAAGCACCUUGAUUUGAUUCUUCGGAUGAAGAUCUUGGUGACUGAGUGGCGGACGGGUGAGUAACGCGUGGGUAACCUGCCUCAUACAGGGGGAUAACAGUUAGAAAUGACUGCUAAUACCGCAUAAGACCACAGCACCGCAUGGUGCAGGGGUAAAAACUCCGGUGGUAUGAGAUGGACCCGCGUCUGAUUAGGUAGUUGGUGGGGUAACGGCCUACCAAGCCGACGAUCAGUAGCCGACCUGAGAGGGUGACCGGCCACAUUGGGACUGAGACACGGCCCAAACUCCUACGGGAGGCAGCAGUGGGGAAUAUUGCACAAUGGGGGAAACCCUGAUGCAGCGACGCCGCGUGAGCGAUGAAGUAUUUCGGUAUGUAAAGCUCUAUCAGCAGGGAAGGAAAUGACGGUACCUGACUAAGAAGCACCGGCUAAAUACGUG